rnacentral:rRNA from 1 species
GUGCGAUGGGUAGGGGAGCGUCGUGUGGGCAGUGAAGCUGCGGGGUGACCCAGUGGUGGAGCCCACACGAGUGAGAAUGCAGGCAUGAGUAGCGAAUGACGGGUGAGAAACCCGUCCGCCGGAUGAUCAAGGGUUCCAGGGUCAAGCUAAUCUGCCCUGGGUCAGUCGGGACCUAAGGCGAGGCCGACAGGCUUAGUCGAUGGAC